AGCGAACGCUGGCGGCAGGCUUAACACAUGCAAGUCGAACGCUCGUAGCAAUACGGGAGUGGCAGACGGGUGAGUAACGCGUGGGAAUAUGCCUUUUGGUUCGGAAUAACUCAGGGAAACUUGAGCUAAUACCGGAUAAGCCCGUGAGGGGAAAGAUUUAUCGCCAAAAGAUUAGCCCGCGUCCGAUUAGCUAGUUGGUGAGGUAAUGGCUCACCAAGGCGACGAUAGGUAGCUGGUCUGAGAGGAUGAUCAGCCACAUUGGGACUGAGACACGGCCCAAACUCCUAGGGGAGGCAGCAGUGGGGAAUAUUGGACAAUGGGCGCAAGCCUGAUCCAGCCAUGCCGCGUGAGUGAUGAAGGCCUUAGGGUUGUAAAGCUCUUUUGUCCGGGAAGAUAAUGACGGUACCGGAAGAAUAAGCCCCGGCUAACUUCGUGCCAGCAGCCGCAGUAA
rnacentral:rRNA from 1 species